GACGUGGGGGGCCAGCGUUGCUCGGAAUUACUGGGUGUAAAGGGUUCGUAGGCGGUGUGGCAAGUCGGGAGUGAAAUCUCUGGGCUUAACCCAGAGACUGCUUCCGAAACUGCUGUGCUUGAGUGUGGGAGAGGCGCGUGGAAUUGCAGGUGUAGCGGUGAAAUGCGUAGAUAUCUGCAGGAACACCCGUGGCGAAAGCGGCGCGCUGGACCACUACUGACGCUGAGGAACGAAAGCUAGGGGAGCAAACAGGG
rnacentral:rRNA from 1 species